rnacentral:rRNA from 1 species
GAUGAACGCUGGCGGCGUGCCUAAUACAUGCAAGUCGAGCGAACAGACGAGGAGCUUGCUCCUCUGACGUUAGCGGCGGACGGGUGAGUAACACGUGGAUAACCUACCUAUAAGACUGGGAUAACUUCGGGAAACCGGAGCUAAUACCGGAUAAUAUAUUGAACCGCAUGGUUCAAUAGUGAAAGACGGUUUUGCUGUCACUUAUAGAUGGAUCCGCGCCGCAUUAGCUAGUUGGUAAGGUAACGGCUUACCAAGGCAACGAUGCGUAGCCGACCUGAGAGGGUGAUAGGCCACACGGGAACGGAGACACGGUCCAGACUCCUGCGGGAGGCAGCAGUAGGGAAUCUUCCGCAAUGGGCGAAAGCCUGACGGAGCAACGCCGCGUGAGUGAUGAAGGUCUUCGGAUCGUAAAGCUCUGUUAUUAGGGAAGAACAAAUGUGUAAGUAACUGUGCACGUCUUGACGGUACCUAAUCAGAAAGCCACGGCUAACUACGUG